AGGGAUGUGGCGCAACUUGAUAGCGCAUUUGUUUGAGUACAAAAUGUCACGGGUUCAAAUCCUGUCAUCCCUA
rnacentral:tRNA from 1 species